UACAGAGGGUGCGAACGUUAUUCGGAAUCACUGGGCUUAAAGCGCGUGUAGGCGGAAGGGCACGUCUGGUGGCUGAAAUCCCCCGGCUCAACCGUGGAACUGCCUCAGAUACUGACGGUCUCGAGGGGGAUAGGGGCGAGCGGAACUGUGAGUGGAGCGGUGAAAUGCGUUGAUAUUCACAGGAACUCCGGUGGCGAAGGCGGCUCGCUGGAUCUCUUCUGACGCUGAGGCGCGAAAGCUAGGGGAGCAAACGGG
rnacentral:rRNA from 1 species